AAUGUCAACGAUUCUUCCUUUUCCGUUAAGUUUCUCAUUUCUCGAAUCGGAAUUUAUUCACCCGCAUUCCGCAUUUUGAAUUGGUCGUCGUUGUUAUCAAGUUGGUAUUUGAGUUACGUCUCCCUCCAUGUUUUGCUGGAACAUGGAGGUCGUAGUAAGCUUGGUUUUGUUUAAUGCAAGUAUAUUGUAAAUUAUUUCUUGUUGAAAAGGCCAUCGAAUAACCAAGCAAGAUGUUUCUGUACCACAUGACCCUUCAAAAGGCCACAGCCAUCAUUCAUGCAGUCCACGGCAACUUUUCCGGUACCAAAUCUCAAGAAAUUGCAAUUUCUCGAGGCAAAACUUUGGAACUGCUGAGAACGGACACAAACACUGGAAAAGUUCAUACACUUCUAACUGUCGACAUAUUUGGUAUCAUAAGAUCUUUAAUGUCAUUUCGGUUGACCGGAGGUACUAAGGACUUUGUAGUAGUGGGUUCUGACUCUGGUCGACUUGUUAUUCUAGAAUAUAUUCCACAAAAGAAUAUUUUUGAAAAGGUUCAGCAAGAGACUUUUGGCAAAUCAGCCAGCAGAAGAAUUGUUCCUGGACAGUACCUUGCCACAGAUCCUAGAGGAAGAGCAGUAAUGAUUGGGGCGAUCGAGAAACAGAAAUUAGCGUACAUAUUGAAUCGGGAUGCCCAAGCUCGACUUACUAUUUCCUCACCAUUGGAAGCCCAUAAAAGCAAUACGCUUGUAUACCAUAUGGUGGGUGUUGAUGUGGGGUACGAUAACCCCAUUUUCGCUUGUUUGGAAAUCGAUUAUGAGGAAGCUGAUUCAGAUCCCACAGGGGAAGCUGCUCAGAAGACUCAACAAACUCUGACCUUUUACGAACUUGAUCUCGGCGUCAAUCAUGUUGUUAGGAAGUAUUCUGAACCUCUUGAGGAGCAUGCCAAUUUUUUGGUUACUGUACCUGGAGGAGAUGACGGGCCUUCUGGUGUACUUAUUUGCUCAGAAAAUUACCUUACAUAUAAAAAUCUUGGUGAACAGCAUGACAUUCGUUGUCCCAUUCCUAGAAGAAGGAAUGAUUUGGACGAUCCAGAAAGAGGGAUGAUUUUUGUUUGCUCUGCCACCCACAAAACCAAAUCUAUGUUCUUUUUCCUUGCUCAAACGGAACAAGGAGAUAUAUUCAAAAUUACAUUGGAAACUGACGAAGACAUGGUUACUGAAAUAAAACUGAAAUAUUUUGAUACUGUUCCUGUGGCAGCUGCAAUGUGUGUUUUAAAAACUGGAUUCCUCUUUGUGGCCUCAGAAUUUGGCAACCAUUACCUCUACCAAAUCGCUCACCUUGGAGAUGACGAUGAUGAAUUAGAAUUCAGUUCUGCCAUGCCCUUAGAGGAGGGCGAUACAUUCUUUUUCGCGCCGAGAACCUUGAGAAAUCUCGUGCUUGUGGAUGAAAUAGAAUCCCUAUCUCCAAUCCUUUCAUCCCGAGUGGCUGACUUGGCUGGCGAAGACACUCCGCAGUUGUACAUGCUUUGCGGGAGAGGUCCUAGAUCAUCUCUACGAGUACUCAGACACGGUCUGGAAGUAUCUGAAAUGGCCGUGUCAGAAUUGCCAGGAGCUCCUAAUGCUGUUUGGACAGUGAAAAAAAGAAGCGAUGAUGACUGGCUCUGGGAUAGGACCUUGAUGACGAGAUGAAUUUGACGCCUAUAUCAUUGUGUCAUUCGUGAACGCAACUUUGGUGUUGUCUAUCGGUGAAACUGUUGAAGAAGUAACCGACAGUGGGUUUUUGGGAACUACCCCUACUUUAUCAUGUUCUGCCCUCAGUGACGAUGCUCUUGUGCAGGUGUAUCCUGACGGAAUUAGACAUAUAUGUGCAGACAAGCGUGUGAACGAAUGGAAGGCAGGAAAGAAGAGCAUAGUAAAAUGUGCUGUCAACCAACGUCAAGUGGUGAUAGCUCUCUCCGGAGGAGAGUUGGUUUAUUUUGAAAUGGAUCCG
rnacentral:misc_RNA from 1 species